rnacentral:rRNA from 1 species
CUGUGAGGCAUGCUGGAGGUAUCAGAAGUGCGAAUGCUGACAUAAGUAACGAUAAAGCGGGUGAAAAGCCCGCUCGCCGGAAGACCAAGGGUUCCUGUCCAACGUUAAUCGGGGCAGGGUGAGUCGACCCCUAAGGCGAGGCCGAAAGGCGUAGUCGAUGGGAAACAGGUUAAUAUUCCUGUACUUGGUGUUACUGCGAAGGGGGGACGGAGAAGGCUAUGUUGGCCGGGCGACGGUUGUCCCGGUUUAAGCGUGUAGGCUGGUUUUCCAGGCAAAUCCGGAAAAUCAAGGCUGAGGCGUGAUGACGAGGCACUACGGUGCUGAAGCAACAAAUGCCCUGCUUCCAGGAAAAGCCUCUAAGCAUCAGGUAACAUUAAAUCGUACCCCAAACCGACACAGGUGGUCAGGUAGAGAAUACCAAGGCGCUUGAGAGAACUCGGGUGAAGGAACUAGGCAAAAUGGUGCCGUAACUUCGGGAGAAGGCACGCUGAUAUGUAGGUGAAGUCCCUCGCGGAUGGAGCUGAAAUCAGUCGAAGAUACCAGCUGGCUGCAACUGUUUAUUAAAAACACAGCACUGUGCAAACACGAAAGUGGACGUAUACGGUGUGACGCCUGCCCGGUGCCGGAAGGUUAAUUGAUGGGGUUAGCGGUAACGCGAAGCUCUUGAUCGAAGCCCCGGUAAACGGCGGCCGUAACUAUAACGGUCCUAAGGUAGCGAAAUUCCUUGUCGGGUAAGUUCCGACCUGCACGAAUGGCGUAAUGAUGGCCAGGCUGUCUCCACCCGAGACUCAGUGAAAUUGAACUCGCUGUGAAGAUGCAGUGUACCCGCGGCAAGACGGAAAGACCCCGUGAACCUUUACUAUAGCUUGACACUGAACAUUGAGCCUUGAUGUGUAGGAUAGGUGGGAGGCUUUGAAGUGUGGACGCCAGUCUGCAUGGAGCCGACCUUGAAAUACCACCCUUUAAUGUUUGAUGUUCUAACGUUGACCCGUGAUCCGGGUUGCGGACAGUGUCUGGUGGGUAGUUUGACUGGGGCGGUCUCCUCCUAAAGAGUAACGGAGGAGCACGAAGGUUGGCUAAUCCUGGUCGGACAUCAGGAGGUUAGUGCAAUGGCAUAAGCCAGCUUGACUGCGAGCGUGACGGCGCGAGCAGGUGCGAAAGCAGGUCAUAGUGAUCCGGUGGUUCUGAAUGGAAGGGCCAUCGCUCAACGGAUAAAAGGUACUCCGGGGAUAACAGGCUGAUACCGCCCAAGAGUUCAUAUCGACGGCGGUGUUUGGCACCUCGAUGUCGGCUCAUCACAUCCUGGGGCUGAAGUAGGUCCCAAGGGUAUGGCUGUUCGCCAUUUAAAGUGGUACGCGAGCUGGGUUUAGAACGUCGUGAGACAGUUCGGUCCCUAUCUGCCGUGGGCGCUGGAGAACUGAGGGGGGCUGCUCCUAGUACGAGAGGACCGGAGUGGACGCAUCACUGGUGUUCGGGUUGUCAUGCCAAUGGCACUGCCCGGUAGCUAAAUGCGGAAGAGAUAAGUGCUGAAAGCAUCUAAGCACGAAACUUGCCCCGAGAUGAGUUCUCCCUGACUCCUUGAGAGUCCUGAAGGAACGUUGAAGACGACGACGUUGAUAGGCCGGGUGUGUAAGCGC